AGUGAACGCUGGCGGUAGGCCUAACACAUGCAAGUCGAACGGCAGCACAGUAAGAGCUUGCUCUUACGGGUGGCGAGUGGCGGACGGGUGAGGAAUACAUCGGAAUCUACUUUUUCGUGGGGGAUAACGUAGGGAAACUUACGCUAAUACCGCAUACGACCUACGGGUGAAAGCAGGGGAUCUUCGGACCUUGCGCGAUUGAAUGAGCCGAUGUCGGAUUAGUUAGUUGGGGGGGUAAAGGCCCACCAAGGCGACGAUCCGUAGCUGGUCUGAGAGGAUGAUCAGCCACACUGGAACUGAGACACGGUCCAGACUCCUACGGGAGGCAGCAGUGGGGAAUAUUGGACAAUGGGCGCAAGCCUGAUCCAGCCAUACCGCGUGGGUGAAGAAGGCCUUCGGGUUGUAAAGCCCUUUUGUUGGGAAAGAAAAGCAGCAGGUUAAUACCCCGCUGUUCUGACGGUACCCAAAGAAUAAGCACCGGCUAACUUCGUG
rnacentral:rRNA from 1 species